AUGUUGUAUGAAAGGAGAGAAGGGUAGCACUCCCCUGGACAAGAAUUAAAAGCAAUUUUAU
ensembl:snRNA